rnacentral:rRNA from 1 species
CCUUCCGGUAAGGUGGACUGCGGAAGGAUCAUUA